GAUGAACGCUGGCGGCGUGCCUAAUACAUGCAAGUCGAGCGAACAGACGAGGAGCUUGCUCCUCUGACGUUAGCGGCGGACGGGUGAGUAACACGUGGAUAACCUACCUAUAAGACUGGGAUAACUUCGGGAAACCGGAGCUAAUACCGGAUAAUAUAUUGCACCGCAUGGUUCAAUAGUGAAAGACGGUUUUGCUGUCACUUAUCGAUGGAUCCGCGCCGCAUUAGCUAGUUGGUAAGGUAACGGCUUACCAAGGCAACGAUGCGUAGCCGACCUGAGAGGGUGAUCGGCCACACUGGAACUGAGACACGGUCCAGACUCCUACGGGAGGCAGCAGUAGGGAAUCUGCCGCAGUGGGCGAAAGCCUGACGGAGCAACGCCGCGUGAGUGAUGAAGGUCUUCGGAUCGUAAAACUCUGUUAUUAGGGAAGAACAAAUGUGUAAGUAACUAUGCACGUCUUGACGGUACCUAAUCAGAAAGCCACGGCUAACUACGUG
rnacentral:rRNA from 1 species